rnacentral:rRNA from 1 species
GAGUUUGAUCCUGGCUCAGGAUGAACGCUGGCGGCGUGCUUAACACAUGCAAGUCGAACGGAGAUGUACGCUGAAGAAGCUUCGGUGGAUUCUUGUGCAUCUUAGUGGCGGACGGGUGAGUAACGCGUGGGCGACCUGCCUCACACAGGGGGAUAACAGCCAGAAAUGGCUGCUAAUACCGCAUAAGCGCACAGUGCUGCAUGGCACAGUGUGAAAAACCGAGGUGGUGUGAGAUGGGCCCGCGUCUGAUUAGCUUGUUGGCGGGGUAACGGCCCACCAAGGCAACGAUCAGUAGCCGGCUUGAGAGAGUGGACGGCCACAUUGGAACUGAGACACGGUCCAAACUCCUACGGGAGGCAGCAGUGGGGAAUAUUGCACAAUGGGGGAAACCCUGAUGCAGCGACGCCGCGUGAGUGAAGAAGUAUUUCGGUAUGUAAAGCUCUAUCAGCAGGGAAGAUAAUGACGGUACCUGACUAAGAAGCCCCGGCUAACUACGUGCCAGCAGCCGCGGUAAUACGUAGGGGGCAAGCGUUAUCCGGAUUUACUGGGUGUAAAGGGUGCGUAGGUGGCAUGGCAAGUCAGAAGUGAAAGCCCGGGGCUCAACCCCGCGGACUGCUUUUGAAACUGUCAGGCUGGAGUACAGG